AUUGAACGCUGGCGGCCGGCCUAACACAUGCAAGUCGAACGAGUGGCGGACGGGUGAGUAAUGUCUGGGAAACUGCCUGACGGAGGGGGAUAACUACUGGAAACGGUAGCUAAUACCGCAUACCAUCGGAUGUGCCCAGAUGGGAUUAGCUCGUAGGUGGGGUAAAGGCUCACCUAGUCGACGAUCCCUAGCUGGUCUGAGAGGAUGACCAGCCACUCUGAAACGUAGACACGGUCCAGACUCCUACGGUAGGCAGCAGUGGGGAGUAUUGCACAACGGGCUCAAGCCUGAUGCAGCCAGGCCGCGUGUAUUAAGAAGGCCUUCGGGUUGUAAAGUACUUUCAGCUGUGAGGCGUUACCCGCAGAAGAAGCACCGGCUAACUCCGUGCCAGCAGCCGCGGUAAUAC
rnacentral:rRNA from 1 species